rnacentral:rRNA from 1 species
GAUGAACGCUGGCGGCGUGCUUAACACAUGCAAGUCGAACGGAAAGGCUCCUGCUUGCAGGGGUACUCGAGUGGCGAACGGGUGAGUAACACGUGGGUGAUCUGCCCUGCACUUCGGGAUAAGCCUGGGAAACUGGGUCUAAUACCGGAUAGGACCACAUUUUGGAUGGUGUGGUGGAAAGUUUUUCGGUGUGGGAUGAGCUCGCGGCCUAUCAGCUUGUUGGUGGGGUAAUGGCCUACCAAGGCGUCGACGGGUAGCCGGCCUGAGAGGGUGUACGGCCACAUUGGGACUGAGAUACGGCCCAGACUCCUACGGGAGGCAGCAGUGGGGAAUAUUGCACAAUGGGCGCAAGCCUGAUGCAGCGACGCCGCGUGGGGGAUGACGGCCUUCGGGUUGUAAACUCCUUUCGCUAGGGACGAAGCGCAAGUGACGGUACCUGGAGAAGAAACACCGGCUAACUACGU